rnacentral:rRNA from 1 species
GACGAACGCUGGCGGCGUGCCUAAUACAUGCAAGUCGAGCGCAGGAAGCUGACGGAACUCUUCGGAGAGAAGGCAGUGGAAUGAGCGGCGGACGGGUGAGUAACACGUAAGGAACCUGCCUCAAGGAUUGGGAUAACUCCGAGAAAUCGGAGCUAAUACCGGAUAGUUCAACGGACCGCAUGGUCCGCUGAUGAAAGGCGCUUCGGCGUCACCUUGAGAUGGCCUUGCGGUGCAUUAGCUAGUUGGUGGGGUAACGGCCCACCAAGGCGACGAUGCAUAGCCGACCGGAGAGGGUGAUCGGCCACACUGGGACGGAGACACGGCCCAGACUCCUACGGGAGGCAGCAGUAGGGAAUCUUCCACAAUGGACGAAAGUCUGAUGGAGCAACGCCGCGUGAGUGAUGAAGGUUUUCGGAUCGUAAACUCUGUUGUAAGGGAAGAACACGUACGAGAGGGAAUGCUCGUACCUUGACGGUACCUUACGAGAAAGCCACGGCUAACUACGUGCCAGCCGCCGCGGUAA